AUUGAACGCUGGCGGCAUGCCUUACACAUGCAAGUCGAACGGUAACAGGUCUUCGGAUGCUGACGAGUGGCGAACGGGUGAGUAAUACAUCGGAACGUGCCUAGUAGUGGGGGAUAACUACUCGAAAGAGUGGCUAAUACCGCAUGAGAUCUACGGAUGAAAGCAGGGGAUCGCAAGAACUUGUGCUACUAGAGCGGCCGGUGGCGGAUUAGGUAGUUGGUGGGAUAAAAGCUUGCCAAGCCGACGAUCUGUAGCUGGUCUGAGAGGACGAUCAGCCACACUGGGACUGAGACACGGCCCAGACUCCUACGGGAGGCAGCAGUGGGGAAUUUUGGACAGUGGGCGCAAGUCUGAUCCAGCAAUGCCGCGUGCAGGAUGAAGGCCUUCGGGUUGUAAACUGCUUUUGUACGGAACGAAAAGCCCUGGGUUAAUACCCUGGGGUCAUGACGGUACCGUAAGAAUAAGCACCGGCUAACUACGUGCCAGCCGCCGCGGUAA
rnacentral:rRNA from 1 species